AGUAUCAUCCCUUGAAUAAAAUCUUCCUUACUGUCUUUAAUGGGUGUCACAAAUUUUUUUUUCUUUAACAGUCAGGAGGGUGCUAAUGGAGUACCAUGACAAAAGGCCUAACUUCCUAUAAUGGACAUUUUCUGGGUUUACCUGACAAAUACUCUUUUUCUCUUCUAAGGAAAAUUUCCAGUUCUCAGUGUAACUGCCAACUGGCCCAGGGGUGGACAAGUGAGUCAGAUGAGACCAAAAUGAAAAUUCUGUUGAGACACUGGACCUUGAGGAUUCAAGCCAAGGACGAAAAAGUGUUGGUACUCCAUUAUUCUGAUGGUCCAUUAACUCUUGCUUUUUUGUUCCUAUGUCUAUCACAGCCCCUGCCUUUUUGAAGAUAAUGACCACUCAUCUGAGUACACAGUUCGCAGAAUCCCUUUGCAGUGGCCCAUGCGGGCCAAGGUAGUAGAGCAUAAUAGAUCUCUAGAAGGCCACUAGAAACAGCAGGUGAUGGCCCCAGCUCCUGUCCCUCCAUGCAGAACAUCUGUCAACACCUAUGGACAUCUUUUCCUCCCCCAUUCCUAUGAAUGUUGCUCAGUUGUUACAUGGCAUGGACAAAUGCUGUUGGCUCGUGGCAUGGACACACUGGACAAGCUUGGCCUUCGGUAAAACAAAGACUGGAUUCAAUUACUCAAACUGAAACAGGAAUGCUUGGAUGAACAAGCCUGCCAGGAAGUCCA